rnacentral:rRNA from 1 species
UACGUAGGGGGCAAGCGUUGUCCGGAUUUAUUGGGCGUAAAGAGCGUGUAGGCGGCCAGAUAGGUCGGUUGUGAAAACUGGAGGCUCAACCUCCAGACGUCGACCGAAACCAUCUGGCUAGAGUCCGGAAGAGGAGAGUGGAAUUCCUGGUGUAGCGGUGAAAUGCGCAGAUAUCAGGAAGAACACCCGUGGCGAAGGCGGCUCUCUGGGACGUUACUGACACUGAGGCGCGAAAGCGUGGGGAGCGAACAGG